rnacentral:rRNA from 1 species
AUUGAACGCUGGCGGCAGGCCUAACACAUGCAAGUCGAGCGAGCGGCGGACGGGUGAGUAAUGUCUGGGAAACUGCCUGAUGGAGGGGGAUCACUACUGGAAACGGUAGCUAAUACCGCAUCCCAUCAGAUGUGCCCAUAUGGGAUUAGCUGGAAGGUGGGGUAACGGCUCACCUAGGCGACGAUCCCUAGCUGGUCUGAGAGGAUGACCAGCCACACUGGAACUGAGACGCGGUCCAGACUCCUACGGGAGGCAGCAGUGGGGAAUAUUGCACCAUGGUCGCAAGCCUGAUGCAGCCGUGCCGCGUGUGUGACGAAGGCCUUCGGGUUGUAAAGCACUUUCAGCGGGGAGGCGUUACCCGCAGAAGAAGCACCGGCUAACUCCGUGCCAGCAGCCGCGGUAAUAC